UACUCCUACGGGAGGCAGCAGUAGGGAAUCUUCCACAAUGGGCGAAAGCCUGAUGGAGCAACGCCGCGUGUGUGAUGAAGGGUUUCGGCUCGUAAAACACUGUUGUAAGAGAAGAAUGACAUUGAGAGUAACUGUUCAAUGUGUGACGGUAUCUUACCAGAAAGGAACGGCUAAAUACGUGCCAGCAGCCGCGGUAAUAA
rnacentral:rRNA from 1 species